rnacentral:rRNA from 1 species
UACGUAGGGGGCAAGCGUUGUCCGGAAUCAUUGGGCGUAAAGAGCGCGUAGGCGGUCCGGUAAGUCAGCUGUGAAAGUCAAGGGCUCAACCCUUGAAAGCCGGUUGAUACUGUCGGGCUAGAGUCCGGAAGAGGCGAGUGGAAUUCCCGGUGUAGCGGUGAAAUGCGCAGAUAUCGGGAGGAACACCAAUGGCGAAGGCGACUACCUGGCCUGUUCUUGACGCUGAGGCGCGAAAGCUAGGGGAGCAAACGGG